UACAUUUCUCUUAAUCAGAUAACAACUCUGUCUUAAACUAACUAUCGUGCGCGCAAGACGCUGUGUGAUUAUUUGAUUUUCUUCAUCAUCUUUAGCACACACAGCGAACUUCUUACGACUUUAAAAUCAUGUUUAUCCGAUUUAUUAUUUUCUACUCUAUUUUAUUCGUCGAUUUGAGAGACGCUAGACCAGCGCCGAUCAAGGUACGCGUAAAAAGUGGUUGGCUAAAGUCGUUCGUAAAACAGUCAUUACCGAAUGUAAUAUUAGGAACACACAAGCUCACCAUUCCGAAAGGUUUGUCAACAAAAGUAUUCCGAGAGCCCACUUUGCCAUAUAUUUGUCGCGAGUUCCCACCAGGAACGGGAACAAUACCGAAAUCAAUGGCGGGCCGCGUACCACAUAUCCGCGAAGAAUAUAUACCAAGUGCACCAGCAAAACGCGCACCCAGAGGCAAGCUCAGCACUUUGGGAGCCCCGGACCAAGACCCAGACCCAGACAUAUUAACAGACUCUGCCAAGCUUUAAGAGGCUCACUAUAGGGUGAAUGGAAAAUUUUUUUCUCGCCAUAUUGUGCGGUCUUUUUGAAGGCUCGAGAAAAUGAAAAAUUCAUUUAAAAUACAGCGAGCUAAAUCGCAUCAAAAGAGAGGGGGCUUUCUCGCGACACAAUCAAUAUUUAUGAUGGACACGUGCUUUAUAACGUGAUGUUUAUUUAGCCUUUUGGCUUUUAAAAAUCAAAUUCAAAAAGAGUACAGAUAAUUUCGAUUUUGGCCAAGCAAAACGAAGGCGAACGCUUCAGAAAAUUCACAAUUUGUGAGGUACAAAAAAAUAAUUUUCAAUAUAAGAAGUUUCAACGCCCAAAUUUUUUACUUUUUUCGUUAUUUUGAACUUUUUCGAACCGGUACCAACCUUGCAGGUAUUUCUUUGGUUAUGUUUCUUAAAUAUUUUUGAACAUGGUAUCUGAAGGAUUUUUUUUUUUAAAUCACUACUUUUUCAAUCAAAUUUUCGGAAAGCUCUCCACUCAACCUCCUCCCUCCUCACACACACACAAAAAUAAACAGGAUGUCCAUUAUUUUUGGCAAGUAAUUUUCCUUGACAUUUCCAGGUUUCCUAAAUCAUUUUUUCCAAUUUUCUAUACGUACCUACUUACCCCAUACUUCAAUUUAAAGAAUGAGUUUUGGGAGGAGGGGAGGUGGGAUAAUUUUUUUUCAUAAGUUUCUCUUCAAAUUGAUUCGAGAGUAAUAAUCUUGUAAUUAUAAACACCCCCUCCCCCCAAAAAAAAUUGAUUCGAGAGCUUUUGAAAAUAUUUAUUUCGAGAUGCAUAAAAACGAGCUUACUUUUAGUUUUUAAAAUUUUAGAAUUUGAAUAAUGUUUUUUUGAAAGAAGUUGAUUUUGAAAAAGAAAACAGAACAUGCCCAAGCGAGGGCAAAAGUCUUCGAAAAUUUGUGUAUCGAGAAGUAAAAAAUUAUUGUUUUUCUUUCAUUACAGGCCCAUAUCCGAAAUUUGCAAUUGAUCGUUUUUUCAAAAUUCCAGAGAUUUUUCGUAAAAAUUACAAAAUCCACUGACUUUUUCAGACCGACCAAAUUCCCUGACUUUUCCAGGCUUUUCGGAAGAAUGGUCAGUUGGUCACUCCUGAUUAAUAAAGCCUUAAUUUUUCACAAGAAAAUUUUCAAAAAAAUUGAAACUGGAAGGAAAAUUGCAUACAAAGUAUUUUUCAUUAUCAAUCAAAAUUAUAACGAAAAAACGAUAAAAAAUAUGAACCCAUUAAUGAAUUUUUUCAUUUUUUCACUACCUCUUUGACUAAAUUCACUAUACUUUCACUACUCAUUUUUAAAAUCACUACUUUUUCACUACGUUCACUCCUUUCUUUACCUGUUAGAUAUACCAUGCUGAAGAACCGUUUUGAGCAGUUCUGGAGCCUCCAGCAGAUUUUUGAAACUCGAAAUUCCCACAAAAUUCCAUUAAACGGAGAUGGAAAGCCGAAAUUUACUCUGCGAACUAAUUUCAAUACCCUACGAAGUCAACUGCAGGUAGACUUCAAGUCGUUUUGGAGCCUCCAGUAGAUUUUUGAAACUUUACUUCGCAAACUUAUUUUAAUACCACAUGAAGUCGACUACCUGAUGGUUUCAAAUAGUUUUGAAGCUUCUAGCUACUUUUUAAAUUUCAAUUUUCCAAAAAACGCAAUACAACGUUUCAAAAAGUCGCUGGAGGCUCCAAAACGACUUGAAAUCUACCAGCAGUCGACUUCGUAGAGUAUUGAAAUUAGUUUGCAGAAUGAAUGAUUUCGUCUCUCCAUCUUCAUUUGAUGAAAUUUUGGGAGGUUUUUCAGUUUCAAAAAUCUACUGGACCUGCUCCAGUAAUUUUCAAAAAGUCGCUAGAGGCUCCAAAAUUACUUAAACCCACCUGAAGUCGUCUUCAGAGGGUGUCAAACUUGGAGUGCGGAGUAAAUUUCGGCUCUCCCAUCUCCGUUUGAUGAAGUUUUGGAGUAAUUUCAAGUUUCAAAAAUCUACUGGAGGCUCCAAAACACUUAAAAUCUACCUACAGUUGACUUCGUAGCGUAUUGAAAUUGGUUUGCAGAGUGAAUUUCGGCUUUCCAUCUCCGUUUGAUGAAAUGUUGUGGGAAUUUCCAGUCUCAAAAAUCUGCUGGAGGCUCCAGAACUGCUCAAAACGGGUUGAAACCGUUUCCAAUCGAUUUGGCUUGCCGAAAAUAGGGUAUAUUCCAAAUUUCAGCUUUCUCGAUCAAUUUGGUAAGAUUUUGAUUUUUUCCCUCAUUUUUGGCCUAAAUUUGAUUUUCAAAAAUUCACCAAAAAUCGAAAAACGCACUUUGGCACUUGAAAUUUUGACAGGUGAUGAAUUUUUGCCUGAUCUUUCGAUCUACGUUUGUACGGUUUGAAAAAUUUCGUGCAAGUCCUAUGUUGAAACGCAAAAUCUGCGAUUUCGGCUGACCUGGCUAUCAAAAUGACCACCAUUUUGUAAGUAGGGCCACUUUUUUUGAGGACAAGGGCUAAAAAUGUUUCUUAGGACUCCCCCUUUAAGAAAAAAGUUGCCCCAGGUGAUCCUUAUUCGAGCCCCCUGACCAUCUAGAAUUUUGGAUGAUGCAAAACAUUGGUUUUCAUGGCUUUAGCAUUUUCAGUUUUCAAGAAAUUAUAAAUGUUAUACAUACUAUUUUUAAAAAUACGAAUGGGGCUCGAGCGGGGCGAGGGCAAAAGCUCCCAAAAAUUCAAAAUUCUUUAUUUUUUUCAAGACAUAAUUUCUCUUGUAACUAUGUACUCGUAUUUUCAAAAACGACAAAUUUGUGGUAGAAAAUGUUUCCGCAUUUUUGUUGAAAAAUAUAUAAUUAUAUAUUUUUUUUUGAUAUUUCAAGUUGAGAUUUUCUGGCAAUUUUGACUGGAAUGCAUUGGAGAGAUUUUUUCUUUUAUAAUUUGGAAAAUUUCAAGUAAAAACAACAUUAUUUUUGAUAUGAGAAGUUGAAUUUUAUAUUCUCCAGCUUCAAUUGGAGAAACGAAAACUUUUGAUUUAUAAACCACGUUUUUUCUGAUAAUUCUUUGAUUUUCCCUGCUCACACAAUUUAUUUCCAAAUUUCCCAAAUAUUUUCAACCAAAUUCUCAGCUUUUCACCUAAAGUUUUCUGUCUGACGGUGUUGCCAAGUUUCUAUUUCAUGGCUUUCAACGUCUAUAGAAGCUUGGCAACUACACUUCAUACUUUCAAUUGAUAUUUGUUAGCCAACUACGUAUUUGUCAUUUUUCUCUUAAUAAAGAUUAAAGCGUUU